CCGGCAAACGGGUGCGCAACACGUACACAACCUUCCUUUUGGUGGGGGAUAGCCCAGAGAAAUUUGGAUUAAUACCCCAUAGUAUGGUACUAAAGCAUUUUGGUAUUAUUAAAGAUUUAUUGCCAGAAGAUGGGUGUGCGUCUGAUUAGGUAGUUGGUGUGGGUAACGGCCCACCAAGCCAGCGAUCAGUAACUGGUGUGAGAGCACGACCAGUCACACGGGCACUGAGACACGGGCCCG
rnacentral:rRNA from 1 species